CACAGGCGGAUCUGGAGGCAGGGUUCUGAGGGGAUUAGAAAAGAUUUAUUUUCCUUUUUUCUGGAGUGAGAUGAAAGGGGGGAGGGGGAGGGAGAGGCGAGCAAGGAGUGCUACGGAAAGGAACUCAUUAUUUUUUAUCUUUUCCAAUGACCUUGUUUAUUUUAGUCCUGCUUGAAAGCAGCUUCUUUCCUUGAGAAAAUUUUGAGAUAUCUGGAGACUGGGGCUAGUGAGAAAGGGAAAAAACAGGAAAAGGGAGCUGGGUGAACUGAAGAAACAUGGAAAAUUAACAGAAUAAAUGUAAACUGAGCUGGAGAAAAACCCACGUGGGCUUGGUGCUGUGAUGAAAUGCCACGUCUAGGGGAAAUAUUCCCCCUGUCCAACCUGGCCUUGGACACUCCCAGGGAUGGAGCAGCCACAGCUUCUCAGGUAAACCUGUGCCAGGGCCUCCCCUCCCUCAUGGAGAAGUAUUUCUUCCAUAUUUAACUUGAAUUUCCCCAGUUUCUAUUUGAGCCCAUUGCUUCUUGUCCUGUCCCUACAGAUGCUGACACAGUCCCUCUCUGUCCUCCCUGUGGCCAGCUCAGGGUGGUGCUGGGAGGUCUCCAGGCUGACCAGAGCUUGUGGGGAGCAGAGGCAUCACCAGUCUGACUCCUCUGGUCCUUGCCCAAGUUGCAUCUCCUGAAGGAAUUCCCUCAGACCCAUUACAAGAGGGAUUCAGUUGGUUUUCCCCUCUUUAUUUCAGUGGGCUUUGAUUGCAGCUGGGAAGCAGUAGAAGCUCAUGGAUAUGAACUAAUCCCUUCUCAGCCUCCUGGACACUGGACAUUCCAAUUCCCCCCCUGCCCCUGCACAUUCCCAUUGCUCAGGGUUUGAAAUGCAGCACCCCAUUCAUUUAACCCUACUGGGGUAUAUUAUUUUUUUUUCUAUUUUUUUUUCCCUUCAGCACCCUGUUGUCCCAUUAUCCUCUGCACUGGGAUCAUCCUCUGGAAGGAGAUGGCUGCACCACAGAGGGAACGCCAGGAGAACUCGUGAGUUUCUGAACCCAAGGACCAGCUCUGCCCCAGCUGAUGCUGCCUUUGAGGGGAUACCUGGCCUGGAAAUGCGGGAAGACAGCACCAGUGGGUUCCCCUGGCAGCUGAGCUGGCUUUCACAGGACCUCCUGGAGAAGGCAGUGUGUUCUAAGAGUGACACUUAUCAGCUCUCUGUACUUUAA
rnacentral:lncRNA from 1 species